rnacentral:rRNA from 1 species
AUUGAACGCUGGCGGCAUGCCUUACACAUGCAAGUCGAACGGCAGCACGGGAGCUUGCUCCUGGUGGCGAGUGGCGAACGGGUGAGUAAUACAUCGGAACGUACCCUGAAGUGGGGGAUAACGUAGCGAAAGUUACGCUAAUACCGCAUAUUCUGUGAGCAGGAAAGAGGGGGAUCGCAAGACCUCUUGCUUUAGGAGCGGCCGAUGUCGGAUUAGCUAGUUGGUGGGGUAAAAGCCUACCAAGGCGACGAUCGGUAGCUGGUCUGAGAGGAUGAUCAGCCACACUGGGACUGAGACACGGCCCAGACUCCUACGGGAGGCAGCAGUGGGGAAUAUUGGACAAUGGGCGCAAGCCUGAUCCAGCAAUGCCGCGUGGGUGAAGAAGGCCUGCGGGUUGUAAAGCCCUUUAAGCGGGAGGAAAGCCGGGGGUGAAGUAGACGCCUCGGGGUGACGUUACCGCAGAAGUAAGCACCGGCUAACUCCGUGCCAGCAGCCGCGGUAAU